rnacentral:lncRNA from 1 species
CUCCGUACAGAUCCAUUGAGCGACCAUGGCCAAUUAAGUCAAGGAAUUUCUUUUCUGUUGUUUGAUCUUACAGCGCCACAAGGGCUUAGUGUAAGAGCUGUUCAAGGAAAUGCUACAAAUCCAGAAGGGCACAUUCAGAUCCUGCUCCUGGCUGUGCUAAGGCCACACUCGGUCAGGUCCUUCACUCAGACACGCUGUUUAAUAACAUGGUUUAUUUACCUACUGAUAUUAAUUCAAAAGCACUCCAGUCUUCUAAAAAUAACUCACUAUAUUGUAUACAUUUCUCCACAGACAUUGAAUGAACCUCAACAGAUACCGUAAGAAAAGCAGAGUAGAUCCAAGCUCAGUUGGGCAAAGAGAAAGAGUCCCUCAUUUGUCUGAAGCUGACCUGGAGUAUCUGGAAGCAUAUCUUGAGAAAGGUUUAAAAUUUCAGGUAUGAUUUAAAAAAUCACACAUGAGAAAGUUCUUUUGGAAUGAUCUGUUUCACAGGCUGGUGUAUCCUGAGUGACUGAACUGUCAGAAAGCACUGAAGGUUUGGCAGUGGCAGCCUCUAAUUAAUCCAGUGAGUCCCAUUAAUCGCGCUGCUGCUGUGUGUGCGUCGCUCACAUAAUGAACUCUCUGGAAACGGCACCCGGCAUGGGAGCAGAACGAUGUGACUGCACGAGGUACCUGCUAGGAUUUCAAAAGGGCAUGUUUACAUUCCAAAGCUGAUAUAUGUCAUAUCAAGGGGGCAUAUAUUUUGCAUGUUAGCUUUCUGGGGGACAAUUUUCCACAUUUAAUUGAAACCCCUUUAUAUUUAUAUUUCUGUUCCUUUGUUAACUCUUCCAUACGCAAGUCGUACCUGGAACUCAAGCUCCAGUUGUGAUGUCUCUUCCUGACCACUCACUGGUCUCCUGCAGUAUCAUUUAUCUGUCACCUCUCCUCAUCCCCACUGACUUAUUCAUGAGUCAUUUGUAGAAUUUUCUUCCAAGUUUUUAGCAUCGUAAACUUGACUCAUCUGACUUAAUUCUUCAAAGAUAUGUUUUGUCUUGUUGACAGGAUGAAAUUUGUAACAUCAAAUCUUCCAUAUGGAUUUUCCUUCUUACAGAGACUAUUGUUGUGCUUACAAAUGUUGUGCUGUCAUUUUUUGGGUGAACAUUCCCACUCAUAAAUCCUGUUGUCUAGAAUAUUUAUAGGAAGCACACGCAAGAGGCACCAAUAUGGCUAAAAUAAAUUCAACUCAACAUUCA